rnacentral:rRNA from 1 species
GACGAACCGUGCAAACGUUGUUCGGAUUCACUGGGCUUAAAGGGCGCGUAGGCGGGUGGUCAAGUCAGGGGUGAAAUCUUUCAGCUCAACUGGAAAAUAGCUUCUGAUACUGGCCGUCUUGAGGGAGGUAGGGGCAUGUGGAACUUCCGGUGGAGCAGUGAAAUGCGUAGAUAUCGAGAGGAACACCAGUGGCGAAGGCGAGUCCCUGGACGACUCCUGACACUGAGGCACGAAAGCUAGGGGAGCAAACAGG